rnacentral:rRNA from 1 species
UACGGAGGGGGCGAGCGUUAUUCGGAAUUAUUGGGCGUAAAGGGCGCGUAGGCGGCUUUCUAAGUCAAAGGUGAAAUCCCUCGGCUCAACUGAGGAACUGCCUUUGAAACUGGAAGGCUUGAGGCCGGGAGGGGGUAGCGGAAUUCCCAGUGUAGCGGUGAAAUGCGUAGAUAUGACAUAGAACACCGAUAGCGAAGGCAGCUUGCUACACAAUCAUUGACACUGAGGCACGAAAGCGUGGGGAUCAAACAGG